rnacentral:tRNA from 1 species
GGGGAUAUAGCUUGUUGGCAAAGUGCUUGCCUCACAUGCACAGGUCCCUGGGUUCAAUCCCCAGCACCACCA